AAAGGGAUAGCCUCGGGAAACUGGGAUUAAUACCUUAUGAUACUUUUUUACCGCAUGGUGAAGAAGUUAAAGCGUAAAGCGGUGAAAGAUGGUCUCGCGUCCCAUUAGUUAGUUGGUGAGGUAACGGCUCACCAAGACCGCGAUGGGUAGCCGGCCUGAGAGGGUGAACGGCCACACUGGAACUGAGACACGGUCCAGACUCCUACGGGAGGCAGCAGUGGGGAAUAUUGCACAAUGGGGGAAACUCUGAUGCAGCGACGCCGCGUGAACGAUGAAGGCCUUCGGGUCGUAAAGUUCUGUCCUAGGGACGAUAAUGACGGUACCCUAGGAGGAAGCCCCGGCUAACUACGUGCCAGCAGCCGCGGUAAUACGUAGGGGGCGAGCGUUGUCCGGAAUUAUUGGGCGUAAAGGGUUCGUAGGCGGUUUUUUAAGUCAGGUGUGAAAGGCAUAGGCUCAACCUGUGUAAGCACUUGAAACUGAAAGACUUGAGUGAAGGAGAGGAAAGUGGAAUUCCUAGUGUAGCGGUGAAAUGCGUAGAUAUUAGGAGGAAUACCAGUGGCGAAGGCGACUUUCUGGAACUUAACUGACGCUGAGGAACGAAAGCGNGGGGAGCAAACAGGAUUAGAUACCCUGGUAGUCCACGCCGUAAACGAUGAGUGCUAGGUGUUGGGGGUCAACCUCGGUGCCGCAGCUAACGCAUUAAGCACUCCGCCUGGGGAGUACGUACGCAAGAUGAAACUCAAAGGAAUUGACGGGGACCCGCACAAGCAGCGGACAUGUGGUUUAAUUCGAAGCAACGCGAAGAACCUUACCAGGACUUGACAUGCCCCUGACCGGUCUAGAGAUAGAUCUUUACCUUCGGGUACAGGGGACACAGGUGGUGCAUGGUUGUCGUCAGCUCGUGUCGUGAGAUGUUGGGUUAAGUCCCGCAACGAGCGCAACCCUUGCCUUUAGUUGCCAUCAUUAAGUUGGGCACUCUAGAGGGACUGCCGAUGAUAAAUCAGGAGGAAGGUGGGGAUGACGUCAAAUCAUCAUGCCCUUUAUGUCCUGGGCUACACACGUGCUACAAUGGUCGGUACAACGAGGAGCUACCUAGCGAUAGGAUGCAAAUCUCUAAAAGCCGAUCCCAGUUCGGAUUGUAGGCUGCAACUCGCCUACAUGAAGUCGGAGUUGCUAGUAAUCGCGAAUCAGAAUGUCGCGGUGAAUGCGUUCCCGGGUCUUGUACACACCGCCCGUCACACCAUGGGAGUUGGCAAUACCCGAAGCCAGUGAGCUAACCGUAAGGAGGCAGCUGUCGAAGGUAGGGUCAAUGACUGGGGUGAAGUCGUAACAAGGUAGCCGUAUCGGAAGGUGCGGCUGGAUCACCUCC
rnacentral:rRNA from 1 species